GACGAACGCUGGCGGCGUGCUUAACACAUGCAAGUCGAACGGUAAGGCCCUUUCGGGGGUACACGAGUGGCGAACGGGUGAGUAACACGUGGGUGAUCUGCCCUGCACUUUGGGAUAAGCCUGGGAAACUGGGUCUAAUACCGGAUAGGACUACGCGAUGCAUGUCGUGUGGUGGAAAGCUUUUGCGGUGUGGGAUGGGCCCGCGGCCUAUCAGCUUGUUGGUGGGGUGAUGGCCUACCAAGGCGACGACGGGUAGCCGGCCUGAGAGGGUGUCCGGCCACACUGGGACUGAGGGACGGCCCAGACUCCUACGGGAGGCAGCAGUGGGGAAUAUUGCACAAUGGGCGCAAGCCUGAUGCAGAGACGCCGCGUGGGGGAUGACGGCCUUCGGGUUGUAAACCCCUUUCAGCACAGACGAAGCGUAAGUGACGGUAUGUGCAGAAGAAGCACCGGCCAACUACGUG
rnacentral:rRNA from 1 species